rnacentral:rRNA from 1 species
GGAGGGUGCAAGCGUUAAUCGGAAUUACUGGGCGUAAAGCGCGCGUAGGCGGCUUUGUCAGUCGGAUGUGAAAGCCCUGGGCUUAACCUGGGAAUUGCAUUCGAUACUGCAGAGCUAGAGUACGGUAGAGGGAAGUGGAAUUCCGGGUGUAGCGGUGAAAUGCGUAGAUAUCCGGAGGAACACCAGUGGCGAAGGCGACUUCCUGGGCCAAUACUGACGCUGAGGUGCGAAAGCGUGGGGAGCAAACAGGGAUUAGAUACCCUGGUAGUCCACGCCGUAAACGAUGAGAACUAGAUGUCGGGGGGAAUCUGUCCUUCGGUGUCGCAGCUAACGCGUUAAGUUCUCCGCCUGGGGAGUACGCCGGCAACGGUA